GCUUUGCCCGCAUGAGGGAUAGGAACGGAAAGCCCACAGCCAUGAGGAACGAAUGGCGAGGACUUGUGGUGUAUAGCCCGACCCUUG
rnacentral:ncRNA from 2 species